UAUUCUGCCCCACGGGAAAGGAUGAGAAGCUUCGACCAGGGUUCGACUCGAGCGUAGCGAGAGAACGUUGCCGCAGGCAACGGCCCGAAGGGCGAGGCGCUUUAGCGCCGAGUUAU
rnacentral:sRNA from 1 species